ACUACCUGAACCGCGCCAGGAGACGGAGCGCAAGUCCAGCGUACCCGCUGACGACUCAGGCGGGAGACGAGAGGUAUCAUGGCCGCCGACAGUGACGAUGGCGCAGUUUCAGCUCCCGCAGCUUCCGACGGUGGUGUCAGCAAAAGCACAACAUCUGGGGAGGAGCUGGUAGUCCAGGUUCCCGUAGUGGAUGUGCAAAGCAACAACUUCAAGGAGAUGUGGCCAUCCCUCCUGCUAGCCAUAAAGACAGCUAAUUUCGUGGCUGUGGACACGGAGCUGAGUGGGCUUGGGGACAGGAAGAGUUUGCUGAACCAGUGCAUCGAGGAACGUUACAAGGCCGUGUGUCAUGCUGCCAGGACCCGUUCUAUCCUUUCCCUGGGCCUCGCCUGCUUCAAGCGGCAGCCAGACAAGGGUGAACAUUCCUAUCUGGCUCAAGUGUUCAAUCUCACUCUGCUGUGCAUGGAGGAGUAUGUCAUAGAACCAAAGUCUGUGCAGUUCCUGAUACAGCAUGGCUUCAACUUCAACCAGCAGUAUGCCCAAGGCAUCCCCUACCAUAAGGGCAAUGAUAAGGGUGAUGAGAGCCAGAGCCAGUCAGUACGGACUCUAUUCCUGGAGCUAAUCCGAGCCCGCCGGCCCCUGGUGCUACACAAUGGCCUUAUAGACUUGGUGUUCCUGUACCAGAACUUCUAUGCACACCUCCCUGAGAGUCUGGGAACCUUCACCGCUGACCUGUGUGAGAUGUUCCCAGCAGGCAUUUAUGACACCAAAUAUGCUGCUGAGUUUCAUGCCCGUUUCGUGGCCUCCUACUUAGAAUAUGCCUUCCGGAAAUGGCAGUGUUUUAGGUGCUGAGGAUUCAGCAGUGAACAAAACAGACCACAAAACCCUGCUCUUAUGGAGCUUAUAUGCUAGUGGACCAUUACCCUCUUGCGCUGUUGCAGUGAACGGGAAAAUGGGAAGCAGCGGGCAGCUGGCAGCCCACACCUUACCCUGGAGUUCUGCAACUAUCCUUCCAGCAUGAGGGACCAUAUUGAUUACCGCUGCUGCCUGCCCCCAGCAACCCACCGUCCUCAUCCC
rnacentral:sRNA from 1 species